GCUAGGUACAGAUCUGUAUGCAGCAUCCCAUGGAAAGGUGCCACAUUUUUUCAUCUCCUCUGAAAGAGUCACAAAUAGAAGCUAAUUGCGUUUUGCUGGAUGAAGAUGGCAUUUGUCUUCUAGGACAGAUGCAGUUAAAGUGUCCCGAGUGGUGUGUCCUCAGCGUCUCCCCCUUUGACACUUCUUCCAAGCAUCCAACAACACCGAGAAAGCGACGUGCGUGCACCCCAGGCAGCCCACACGGCAACAUCUCCGGCAUGCACUGCGGACCUUGGGCAACUGAUGGCAUGCAAAAAGCAGGCAGCAAACAUGGAGACCUGUUACCUCUUUUUCCCCUUCGGAUGGGAGCGGAAGCUCGGAUUUCAGCUGCUUGUCUGUCUGCAACUCACUUAACUCUUCACAAAUCUCAGAGGCCUGGCUCUGAACAGCUGGGCUUUUGUAACGCUGCCCCUUCAGUUGCUGCUGCUUGUCCUGGUGGAGAUAAUUCUAGAUGGGUUUGUUUCCUUUUCUUUUGCAGCAUGCUUAUUUCAUAAGUAGAACACACACAUACAUGUAUCCCAAUGAGAAUGGGAAAACAAUCUCAUUUAAAGAGGUACCUUGCAGCAAUAAAG